rnacentral:rRNA from 1 species
GGGUAGUUUGACUGGGGCGGUCUCCUCCUAAAGAGUAACGGAGGAGCACGAAGGUUGGCUAAUCCUGGUCGGACAUCAGGAGGUUAGUGCAAUGGCAUAAGCCAGCUUGACUGCGAGCGUGACGGCGCGAGCAGGUGCGAAAGCAGGUCAUAGUGAUCCGGUGGUUCUGAAUGGAAGGGCCAUCGCUCAACGGAUAAAAGGUACUCCGGGGAUAACAGGCUGAUACCGCCCAAGAGUUCAUAUCGACGGCGGUGUUUGGCACCUCGAUGUCGGCUCAUCACAUCCUGGGGCUGAAGUAGGUCCCAAGGGUAUGGCUGUUCGCCAUUUAAAGUGGUACGCGAGCUGGGUUUAGAACGUCGUGAGACAGUUCGGUCCCUAUCUGCCGUGGGCGCUGGAAGAUUGAGGGGGGCUGCUCCUAGUACGAGAGGACCGGAGUGGACGCAUCACUGGUGUUCGGGUUGUCAUGCCAAUGGCACUGCCCGGUAGCUACAUGCGGAAGAGAUAAGUGCUGAAAGCAUCUAAGCACGAAACUUGCCCCGAGAUGAAUCUUCCCUGAGCCUUUAAGGCUCCUGAAGGAACGUUGAAGACGACGACGUUGAUAGGCCGGGUGUGUAAGCGCAGCGAUGCGUUGAGCUAACCGGUACUAAUGAACCGUGAGG